AUUGAACGCUGGCGGCAGGCUUAAAACAUGCAAGUCGAGCGAGCGGAGGACGGGUGAGUAAUGUCUGGGAACCUGCCUGAUGGAGGGGGAUAACUACUGGAAACGUUAGCUAAUACCGCAUACCAUCAGAUGUGCCCAGAGGGGAUUAGCUAGUAGGUGGGGUAAUGGCUCAACUAGGCGACGAUCCCUAGCUGGUCUGAGAGGGUGACCAGCCACAUUGGGACUGAGACACGGUCCAGACUCCUACGGGAGGCAGCAGUGGGGAAUAUUGGACAAUGGGCGCAAGCCUGAUGCAGCCAGGCCGCGUGUGUGAAGAAGGCCUUCGGGGUGUAAAGCACGUUCAUCGGGGAGGCGUUACUCGCAGAAGAAGCACCGGCUAACUCCGUGCCAGCAGCCGCGGUAAUUC
rnacentral:rRNA from 1 species